rnacentral:rRNA from 1 species
UAGAGGAAGUAAAAGUCAUAACAAGGUUUCUGUAGGUGAACCUGCAGAAGGAUCAUUAGUGAAUUAAUAGGGAUUGUCCACUCUGUGGAUUCCCGAACCCCUCACCAACAUCCACAAACACCUGUGCAUUGUCAGUUAGAUGUGACUUGAGUUUAACUCUUGUUUUAUCUGCUGGCGCCCCUUUAAAAACUCUGAGUUUUAUGAAUGUGAAGUUAUACUUGCCAAAUUUGGCAGAAUUAAACAUAACUUUCGACAACGGAUCUCUUGGUUCUCCCAUCGAUGAAGAACGCAGCGAAACGCGAUAGGUAAUGUGAAUUGCAGAAUUCAGUGAAUCAUCGAAUCUUUGAACGCACCUUGCGCUCCCUGGUAUUCCUAGGAGCAUGCCUGUUUGAGUGUCAUGAAUUCCUCAAAUCCCAAUGUUUUGCAAAAUUCAUUGCUUGGAUUUGGUUUUGGACUACUGUGCUGCUUCAUUGCAGCUAGUCUCAAAGACAUUAGCAGGGCUUUUCGUCUAGCGAAUAGCUUCCACUUGAUGUGAUAAGUAUUACAUCGGUGGAUUCAGAGCUACAUAGCGAAUAGAGAAGCCUGCUUCCAACCCGGCGAGAAGUUAAUUCUUUGACCCAUUAUUCAUAACUCUGGCCUCAAAUCAGGUAGGAUUACCCGCUGAACUUAAGCAUAUCA